rnacentral:tRNA from 1 species
GAAUUGAAAGCUAACAUAAUAAGCAGCGACCUUGUAAGUCGAAGAAAGGGUGACCCUCAAUUCU